GAGGUGUGUGUGUUACAGAGGUGUGUGUGUUACAGAGGUGUGUGUAUUUGAGCUGAGGUGUGUGUGUUACAGAGGUGUGUGUGUUACAGAGGUGUGUGUAUUUGAGCUGAGGUGUGUGUGUUACAGAGGUGUGUGUGUUACAGAGGUGUGUGUAUUUGAGCUGAAGUGUGUGUGUUACAGAGGUGUGUGUGUUACAGAGGUGUGUGUGUUACAGAGGUGUGUGUAUUUGAGCUGAGGUGUGUGUGUUACAGAGGUGUGUGUGUUACAGAGGUGUGUGUGUUACAGAGGUGUGUG